ACGGGCAGCGCCGGCUCCUGCCGCCGGGCCCGGCCCCCCCAGCCUGCUUUGGUAACGCUCGGGAUGAGCCUCCCGCCCAGUCUCUGGAGAGGUAGCUGAUGCUCGGUCCGUCGGCUGUAGGCCCACGGGAAAGCGCUCAUUCACGGCUCCAGAACCAGAACCACAACCAGCCCCAUGGAAGCAUUAAGUUCCUCUGAGAGGAGUUCAGCGGCAGCUAUCGGUUUUGCCAAGAAGUCAGGGGAGAAAGGCUGACAUUUCAAUCGUAUCAGUUAUGGACUCGCAAAACAGGCCCUCUAAACGAAAAAAUAAGGAAAGACUCAUCCCUGAUCCCUGCAGGAGGCUGUGCAGCUGCACCACGUUCUGCAGGAAGACAUGCUACGUGAGCUACCACCGCUCAGUGAGGUGGUGAGCCCCAACCUCGUAAAUCUAAGACUUCUAAGAAUUCUAUGUCAAAUAAAUAAAAUGCCAACAUAAAAAUCCUAA